AGAUACAACAAGACUCAAAGUACAUCCAGUCAAUACAAGACACCAGUAGAUACCAGCAGCAGUAGCCAUUAGUAACAGGAAUGAGAACUGAAC